CAAGGAAUAGAAGUUCCAGAUCAGUCUCUUUGAGAAGCAGCUAUUUCCUUCUGUGCCCCAGGCAUUCUUAUGAUUCUGGUAUCGUCGUCAUCAUCAUCAUCAUCAUCAUCAUCAUCAUCAUCAUCAUCAUCAUCUUAACUAUUGUCUACUCUAUCCAUGGCAAGGUGAAGGUCUCAAGUUAAUGAGCUAUGGUAUUUUUUUGUUUUGGAAAACUCAGACUGGAUGUUUCUGAGAUCAUGAUGGGACUUUCUGCUCCACAGUUUGUCAUCUAUUUGGAAAUGGACAAAGGCAUAGAGGUAACAUCAUCAAUGUUGGGUUCAUUAGCCAAUCAGGUAAUAAAGUGUCUUCAAGCAAAUGACCAAGCUCAGAGGGCAUCAAGGACUCCACAGUUCAGUUAUGUAUGAGCAACAUAUAUUAUCUUCUAUUGGAACAAUUAUUUUUAUUAAACAUAACCUGUAUAGAAAAAGGCUACUCCAAAUGCCUAAUUAUAAAGAAUCUGGUUUUGUAAUCUGCAGUUUGAAGGCCUUCAAACAUCUUG